CUACGGGUCGCUGCAGUGGGGAAUAUUGCACAAUGGAGGAAACUCUGAUGCAGCAACGCCGCGUGGAGGAUGACACUUUUCGGAGCGUAAACUCCUUUUAUAUAGGAAGAAGAUGACGGUACUAUAUGAAUAAGCGCCGGCUAACUCCGUGCCAGCAGCCGCGGUAAUACGGAGGGCGCAAGCGUUACUCGGAAUCACUGGGCGUAAAGAGCGUGUAGGCGGAUUAAAAAGUCAGAAGUGAAAUCCUAUAGCUUAACUAUAGAACUGCUUCUGAAACUCUUAAUCUAGAAUAUGGGAGAGGUAGAUGGAAUUUCUGGUGUAGGGGUAAUAUCCGUAGAGAUCAGAAGGAAUACCGAUUGCGAAGGCGAUCUACUAGAACAUUAUUGACGCUGAGACGCGAAAGCGUGGGGAGCAAACAGGAUUAGAUACCCUCGUAGUC
rnacentral:rRNA from 1 species